rnacentral:rRNA from 1 species
CCCCUAGAUGUUCUGGGCCGCACGCGCGCUACACUGAACAGUUCGACAAGUCUUAACCUUGGCCGAUAGGUCUGGGUAAUCUUUGAACGCUGUUCGUGAUUGGGAUAGACCUUUGCAAUUAUGGGUCUUCAACGAGGAAUUCCUAGUAAACGCAAGUCAUCAGCUUGCAUUGAUUACGUCCCUGCCCUUUGUACACACCGCCCGUCGCACCUACCGAUUGAAUGGUCCGGUGAAAUCUCGGGACGGCGGCUUGGUCGCUUGCGUCCGACUGCUGAAACUUGAUUAAACCAUAUCAUUUAGAGGAAGGUGAAGUCGUANCA